rnacentral:rRNA from 1 species
UGCCAGCCGCCGCGGUAACACGGGGGGCGCAAGCGUUAAUCGGAAUUACUGGGCGUAAAGCGCGCGUAGGUUGAUUGGUCAGUCAGAUGUGAAAGCCCCGGGCUCAACCUGGGAAUAGCGCUUGAUACUGAACUGCUUGAGACCGGAAGAGGGUAGUGGAAUUCCGAGUGUAGAGGUGAAAUUCGUAGAUAUUCGGUGGAACACCAGUGGCGAAGGCGGCUUUCUGGACCGAUACUGACGCUGAGACGCGAAAGCGUGGGGAGCAAACCGGAUUAGAUA